CGCGUAGGCGGCUUGUUAAGUCAGAUGUGAAAGCCCAAGGCUCAACCUUGGACGUGCAUUUGAAACUGGCAGGCUUGAGUAUUGGAGGGGGUGGUGGAAUUCCCGGUGUAGAGGUGAAAUUCGUAGAUAUCGGGAGGAAUACCGGUGGCGAAGGCGACCACCUGGCCAAAUACUGACGCUGAGGUGCGAAAGCGUGGGGAAGCAAACA
rnacentral:rRNA from 1 species